rnacentral:rRNA from 1 species
GAUGAACGCUGGCGGCGUGCCUAAUACAUGCAAGUCGAGCGAACGGACGAGAAGCUUGCUUUUCUGAUGUUAGCGGCGGACGGGUGAGUAACACGUGGAUAACCUACCUAUAAGACUGGGAUAACUUCGGGAAACCGGAUCUAAUACCGUAUAAUAUUUUGAACCGCAUGGUUCAAAAGUGAAAGACGGUCUUGCUGUCACUUAUAGAUGGAUCCGCGCUGCAUUAGCUAGUUGGUAAGGUAACGGCUUACCAAGGCAACGAUGCAUAGCCGACCUGAGAGGGUGAUAGGCCACACUGGAAGUGAGACACGGUCCAGAGUCCUACGGGAGGCAGCAGUAGGGAAUCUUCCGCAAUGGGCGAAAGCCUGACGGAGCAACGCCGCGUGAGUGAUGACGGUCUUCGGAUCGUAAAACUCUGUUAUUAGGGAAGAACAUAUGUGGAAGUAACUGUGCACAUCUUGACGGUACCUAAUCAGAAAGCCACGGCUAACUACGUG